rnacentral:lncRNA from 1 species
ACUUUGCAUGUUAGGGGAAAACAUACACUACUUCUUUCUCAGGUAUAAUUUCAGCUGUAUCUGCUCUGCAUGGUGCUCCAGACCAGCAAACUCCUCAGAGUACUCCAAGGACAAAUCGGUCUUCUGUCACGCAGUGCACACAUGCUUUUCCAGAGGUAUCCAAUGCAACUUCUCAGGUUGACAGUGCUGAUUGGAGUAAACAAGCUGAGAAAACAAUACAUCUAGACAAAUCAAAUAAACUUCAGAACAAGGCCAGUGAGAGAACUGCUGAUUCAAUAUCCAUAAGUCAAGGAGAGAGUCAUCGUACACCUAAUGAUAAACCUAAUGAUAAAAACAUGCUAAAGCUAAAUUCCAAAAUUCUUCCAAGACAGGAUACAGGAUUUAAGAAUAUAGAUUCCUGGGUAAGCUUAUGUAAAACAAUGAUGCUUCCAGCUCCAAUAAAAACAUCUGCUGAGAGUUUCAAACAGUUCAGGAAAGCAGCAUUAAAGAAAAAGAGUGGGCAAGCACAGGAGUUAAAAAGGCCUCUGGUGCAAGCUGAGAGGGAAAUGCACAACCUUCCUCAAGAAAAAGAGAGGUUUGUAACCACGUAUGUUUAAAUAUUAUU